ACUGCCGAGGAGUCCCACAAUAGGACGAAACGGCCGUCCAGU
rnacentral:hammerhead_ribozyme from 1 species